AAUCAUUGGAGAUGAGCUAAGUUUGGAUCAGUUUCUAAUUAUUCUGUUCCUAUUUCCAAUUCCAAUUCCGGUUACUGCCUCUCCAUAUAACCAAACAGUCCGACUAGUGAGAAAUAUUUCUCCGAAUUUCCUGCCAAACAAGCCAUCCCCCAUAAAAACUCAGACCCUGAAAGAUAAUCCUCCUACACACUCCAUCUCUCUCUCUCUAUCUCUCCCCUCCGUUUACCAUAGUUCCUGAUCUCUGAAAUUCUCCAACCAUGGCUCACCCGGCCGAAUCGUCCGACUCGAAGAAGAAGGACUUCUCGACGGCGAUUUUGGAGCGGAAGAAGUCGCCGAACCGUCUCGUCGUUGAUGAAGCUCUAAACGACGAUAACUCCGUCGUUUCAAUGCAUCCCGAAACCAUGGAAAAGCUCCAGCUUUUCCGCGGUGACACUAUCCUCAUCAAGG